UACGAAGGGGGCUAGCGUUGUUCGGAAUUACUGGGCGUAAAGCGCACGUAGGCGGAUAUUUAAGUUAGGGGUGAAAUCCCAGGGCUCAACCCUGGAACUGCCUUUAAUACUGGGUAUCUCGAGUCCGAGAGAGGUGAGUGGAAUUCCGAGUGUAGAGGUGAAAUUCGUAGAUAUUCGCAAGAACACCAGUGGCGAAGGCGGCUCACUGGCCCGAUACUGACGCUGAGGCACGAAAGCGUGGGGAGCAAACAGG
rnacentral:rRNA from 1 species